GUCUCUGCGGCACAAUGGAUAGCGCUUUGGACUAAUGAUUCAAAGGUCGUGAGUUGAAAACCCACCUGAGAUG